CGUGCUAAUCUGCGAUAAGCGCCGGUAAGGUGAUAUGAACCGUUAUAACCGGCGAUUUCCGAAUGGGGAAACCCAGUGUGACUCGUCACACUAUCAUUAACUGAAUCCAUAGGUUAAUGAGGCGAACCGGGGGAACUGAAACAUCUAAGUACCCCGAGGAAAAGAAAUCAACCGAGAUUCCCCCAGUAGCGGCGAGCGAACGGGGAGGAGCCCAGAGCCUGAAUCAGCAUGUGUGUUAGUGGAAGCGUCUGGAAAGGCGCGCGAUACAGGGUGACAGCCCCGUACACAAAAGCGCAUGUGCUGUGAGCUCGAUGAGUAGGGCGGGACACGUGGUAUCCUGUCUGAAUAUGGGGGGACCAUCCUCCAAGGCUAAAUACUCCUGACUGACCGAUAGUGAACCAGUACCGUGAGGGAAAGGCGAAAAGAACCCCGGCGAGGGGAGUGAAAAAGAACCUGAAACCGUGUACGUACAAGCAGUGGGAGCCCCACCACUAAGCCAGUGGUGAACUCCACAUACGCAUCCUUUGCUGAGGAUACGGUUAACGGAGCGAAAGCGACGUUCAACCGCAAAAGAAGCAGAGGGGGCUUAGUGGUGGGGUGACUGCGUACCUUUUGUAUAAUGGGUCAGCGACUUAUAUUCUGUAGCAAGGUUAACCGAAUAGGGGAGCCGGAGGGAAACCGAGUCUUAAUUGGGCGUUAAGUUGCAGGGUAUAGACCCGAAACCCGGUGAUCUAGCCAUGGGCAGGUUGAAGGUUGGGUAACACUAACUGGAGGACCGAACCGACUAAUGUUGAAAAAUUAGCGGAUGACCUGUGGCUGGGGGUGAAAGGCCAAUCAAACCGGGAGAUAGCUGGUUCUCCCCGAAAGCUAUUUAGGUAGCGCCUCGUGAAUUCAUCUCCGGGGGUAGAGCACUGUUUCGGCUAGGGGGCCAUCCCGGCUUACCAACCCGAUGCAAACUGCGAAUACCGGAGAAUGUUAUCACGGGAGACACACGGCGGGUGCUAACGUCCGUCGUGAAGAGGGAAACAACCCAGACCGCCAGCUAAGGUCCCAAAGUCAUGGUUAAGUGGGAAACGAUGUGGGAAGGCCCAGACAGCCAGGAUGUUGGCUUAGAAGCAGCCAUCAUUUAAAGAAAGCGUAAUAGCUCACUGGUCGAGUCGGCCUGCGCGGAAGAUGUAACGGGGCUAAACCAUGCACCGAAGCUGCGGCAGCGACGCUUAUGCGUUGUUGGGUAGGGGAGCGUUCUGUAAGCCUGUGAAGGUGGCCUGUGAGGGUUGCUGGAGGUAUCAGAAGUGCGAAUGCUGACAUAAGUAACGAUAAAGCGGGUGAAAAGCCCGCUCGCCGGAAGACCAAGGGUUCCUGUCCAACGUUAAUCGGGGCAGGGUGAGUCGACCCCUAAGGCGAGGCCGAAAGGCGUAGUCGAUGGGAAACGGGUUAAUAUUCCCGUACUUGGUGUUACUGCGAAGGGGGGACGGAGAAGGCUAUGUUGGCCGGGCGACGGUUGUCCCGGUUUAAGCGUGUAGGUGUGUGUUCCAGGUAAAUCCGGUUCACUUUAACACUGAGGCGUGACGACGAGGCACUACGGUGCUGAAGCAACAAAUGCCCUGCUUCCAGGAAAAGCCUCUAAGCAUCAGGUAACAUCAAAUCGUACCCCAAACCGACACAGGUGGUCAGGUAGAGAAUACCAAGGCGCUUGAGAGAACUCGGGUGAAGGAACUAGGCAAAAUGGUGCCGUAACUUCGGGAGAAGGCACGCUGACACGUAGGUGAAGUGAUUUACUCACGGAGCUGAAGUCAGUCGAAGAUACCAGCUGGCUGCAACUGUUUAUUAAAAACACAGCACUGUGCAAACACGAAAGUGGACGUAUACGGUGUGACGCCUGCCCGGUGCCGGAAGGUUAAUUGAUGGGGUCAGCGCAAGCGAAGCUCCUGAUCGAAGCCCCGGUAAACGGCGGCCGUAACUAUAACGGUCCUAAGGUAGCGAAAUUCCUUGUCGGGUAAGUUCCGACCUGCACGAAUGGCGUAAUGAUGGCCAGGCUGUCUCCACCCGAGACUCAGUGAAAUUGAACUCGCUGUGAAGAUGCAGUGUACCCGCGGCAAGACGGAAAGACCCCGUGAACCUUUACUAUAGCUUGACACUGAACAUUGAGCCUUGAUGUGUAGGAUAGGUGGGAGGCUUUGAAGUGUGGACGCCAGUCUGCAUGGAGCCGACCUUGAAAUACCACCCUUUAAUGUUUGAUGUUCUAACGUGGACCCGUGAUCCGGGUUGCGGACAGUGUCUGGUGGGUAGUUUGACUGGGGCGGUCUCCUCCUAAAGAGUAACGGAGGAGCACGAAGGUUGGCUAAUCCUGGUCGGACAUCAGGAGGUUAGUGCAAUGGCAUAAGCCAGCUUGACUGCGAGCGUGACGGCGCGAGCAGGUGCGAAAGCAGGUCAUAGUGAUCCGGUGGUUCUGAAUGGAAGGGCCAUCGCUCAACGGAUAAAAGGUACUCCGGGGAUAACAGGCUGAUACCGCCCAAGAGUUCAUAUCGACGGCGGUGUUUGGCACCUCGAUGUCGGCUCAUCACAUCCUGGGGCUGAAGUAGGUCCCAAGGGUAUGGCUGUUCGCCAUUUAAAGUGGUACGCGAGCUGGGUUUAGAACGUCGUGAGACAGUUCGGUCCCUAUCUGCCGUGGGCGCUGGAGAACUGAGGGGGGCUGCUCCUAGUACGAGAGGACCGGAGUGGACGCAUCACUGGUGUUCGGGUUGUCAUGCCAAUGGCACUGCCCGGUAGCUAAAUGCGGAAGAGAUAAGUGCUGAAAGCAUCUAAGCACGAAACUUGCCCCGAGAUGAGUUCUCCCUGAGACUUUAGGUCUCCUGAAGGAACGUUGAAGACGACGACGUUGAUAGGCCGGGUGUGUAAGCGCAGCGAUGCGUUGAGCUAACCGGUACUAAUGAACCGUGAGGCUUAACCUUACA
rnacentral:rRNA from 1 species